GGCAGCCAGUUUCCACAGUAGAGCCUCCUCAGUCAUCUGUUGCUACCAUACAUUUAUAUGAAGGACAAUUUGUGGAGAAGGAAAUGGUAGCAACAAAAGCCAUAAAAAUUUAAUGCGGCCUGCCCUAUUACAAAUAUUUCUUUUAAUAUUGGGGUACAGUAGAAGGCUCCAAGCCCUUGCAAAAGUAGAGGGAUUUGUUUUAUGACUUUCUUAACUUAUUUCAAAUUUGUCAUAUAUGUUGAUAUUUUCAUGAAAUUGUGUAAAAAAUGUUGGUUUUUCAUAAAUCUGGGUCAUAUAGCAAGUUCUACAGAGAAGAAAAAGCUUCCAUAGUUCUAUAGCAUCAAAAACAACACUGUAAUUGUAAUGAUAUAGAACAUCUGCUUACUUUUGUCCAGGACUCCAUCCCCUUAUUUGGCCAAGUUAGACAAUCCUGAUUCUAAUGCAGACAUUCCAGUCCCCAUGGUCAGAAGCUCUUCAAUCAGGUGAAACACCAGGAACAACAGAGGAAACUGUACCAUCAAAGGAUGACAGUACUAUGAUAGUCACAGACUUGACAAAACUGCAGUAAAAACAGGUCAGCAUGUUAGCAAAACUGGAUGAAUACAAAAAACUGGAACUUGGCCAUAUACUUCUACAGUAAAACUAUGCAGUCAUAUGGAGUUUGGAACUUCACUCUCAGACCAAGGGGGAUAACUCCAUAUUGAAUAAGAUCAUGGACACCUGUCAUCACUGAAACUUCACAACUUUAUUUGGAAUCAUCUUCACUUUUGAAAAUACAGAUGAGCCAGUUGUCUGAUUACUGAUGAUCCUGGAGUUACAUAUCACCCAACCCGCCUUAGACUGUAGUAUUACAGAGUGUCCGAUACCAUGAUUCCCUAUGUGUGGGCUCUAGCGGGGAAGUUCCUGUGCCAGUCCUAUUAACAGCCAGGGUCAUAUAAAGACUUGCCAGGUUUUGGAGUUGGAGGAAAGCUUUUUUAAGAGUACCCAGAUAAAAACCACUGGUCUACGGUCAGUACCAGGCAACUGCCCUGUGUGGGUUUUGAACUCGCAACCCAGAGGUGGAGGGCUUAGUGAUAAUUUGUCAGGACAACUUAACCACUCGGCCACCAAAGGUAUAGGAGAUCCAUUGGUUGUGGGAGUCAUAUGUGGAAAGCUAGAUCCUGAUGACAGUAUUUGAAGUCUGAUGUAGCAUAUUUCAUCUUAAGCAUAAUUACUGCUGCUGCUGGAAUGGACGUGUUUUCAACUGUUUAAUUUACACAUUUACCAGGAAAGGAAACAUGCACGGCCAAACUGAGGUUUGAACCCGGGACCUCCGAACACUAGGCAGAUGCUGAUGAUCAGCCCAGUCCAGUCCCACUACAUUCCUCCCUCCUUCAACAAAGUCUUUGACCCUAUUCCACCUCCGUGGGUAUUUAGUUGAGUGCCAAAUGUAACACGAGAGGAAAUAUAUACGGCCAGACCAGGGUUCGCACCACGGACCUUUGAACACUAGCCGAAUUAUGCUCUCAAAUUGAGCUACCUGGUCACCGACCAUCAACCUGGACCAGUUCCGCUACAUUUAUAUAGGUAUGUUAAUGACCUAUAUCAACAGAUUUUAACAUGUUUUCUUAUUUAAUUAUAUCUUUAUGAAAGUGUAUAUACAUGUUUUACUUGAUAAUAAAUUGUUUUAAACGAAAUAAACAGAUCACAAAGUC